GAUGAAGAACGUAGCGAAAUGCGAUAAGUAGUGUGAAUUGCAGAAUUCCGUGAAUCAUCGAAUCUUUGAACGCACAUUGCGCCUUCUGGUAUUCCGGAAGGCAUGCCUGUUCGAGAGUCAUUAACAACCGUUUCGAUCCCUUUCUUUCAGAAAUUACAAAGAGGAAAAGGGUUUGGUUAUGGUGGAGGAGGGAAAGGGAGCGUUUAGCCUGUAAAAAAAGAGGCUGUGUUCCGCCUCCCCCCCAAAAUUGUACAGGCGGUCGUGUGCGCCCACGCAUCGAGGUGUUGUAAAAGCUGCCACGGCACUUUUCACCUGUGCAGUGCGAGAUUGGCCAGCCGGUUUAAAAUCCCCUCCAAACAAUCAAAGGUUGACCUCGGAUCAGGUAGGGAUACCCACUGAACUUAAGCAUAUCAAUAAGCGGAGGA
rnacentral:misc_RNA from 1 species